GCAUUAGUGGUUCAGUGGUAGAAUUCUCACCUUCCGAGAGGGAGAUCUGGGUUCGAUUCCUGGCCAGGGCA
rnacentral:tRNA from 1 species